GCCGGCGUGGCUCAGGGGUGGAGCGUCGGGCUAUGAACCAGGAGGUCUCGGUUCCAUUCCGGUCGAGGGCA
rnacentral:tRNA from 1 species